rnacentral:rRNA from 1 species
CCUACGGGAGGCAGCAGUGAGGAAUAUUGGUCAAUGGACGCAAGUCUGAACCAGCCAUGCCGCGUGCAGGAAGACGGCUCUAUGAGUUGUAAACUGCUUUUGUACGAGGGUAAACGCAGAUACGCGUAUCUGUCUGCAAGUAUCGUACGCAUAAGGAUCGGCUAACUCCGUGCCAGCAGCCGAGGUAAUACGGAGGAUUCAAGCGUUAUCCGGAUUUAUUGGGUUUAAAGGGUGCGUAGGCGGUCGGAUAAGUUAGAGGUGAAAUCCCGAGGCUCAACUUCGGAAUUGCAUCUGAUACUGUUCGGCUAGAGAGUAGUUGCGGUAGGCGGAAUGUAUGGUGUAGCGGUGAAAUGCUUAGAGAUCAUACAGAACACCGAGUGCGAAGGCAGCUUACCAAGCUACUUCUGACGUUGAGGCACGAAAGCGUGGGGAGCAAACAGGAUUAGAUACCCGUGUAGUC